rnacentral:tRNA from 1 species
GGUAGGAAGGGUUAGUGACAGAGCACAUGCUUAGCAUGCAUGAGGUCCUGGGUUCAGUCCCCAGUACUUCCA